rnacentral:rRNA from 1 species
GCAAAACGCGAAGAACCUUACCUACCCUUGACAUGUCUGGAAUCCUGAAGAGAUUUAGGAGUGCUCGCAAGAGAACCGGAACACAGGUGCUGCAUGGCUGUCGUCAGCUCGUGUCGUGAGAUGUUGGGUUAAGUCCCGCAACGAGCGCAACCCUUGUCAUUAGUUGCUACGAAAGGGCACUCUAAUGAGACUGCCGGUGACAAACCGGAGGAAGGUGGGGAUGACGUCAAGUCCUCAUGGCCCUUAUGGGUAGGGCUUCACACGUCAUACAAUGGUCGGGACAGAGGGUCGCCAACCCGCGAGGGGGAGCCAAUCCCAGAAACCCGAUCGUAGUCCGGAUCGCAGUCUGCAACUCGACUGCGUGAAGUCGGAAUCGCUAGUAAUCGUGGAUCAGAAUGUCACGGUGAAUACGUUCCCGGGUCUUGUACACACCG